rnacentral:tRNA from 1 species
CGAAUGUUACUUUAAAUUAAGAAGAUUUAUUUUGCAGAUAAAAGGUGAGUAUAACUCUCAUUCGU